ACAAAAAGUCAUCUAAAUUACACUGGUUGUUGAUAUCAGGUGAAAUAUGAAUGGGUAAAGGGGGAGUUACAGUGGCAGACAGGGAUAUAUCUUUGUGUAAAUGUAGCUCAGUUAAAGCUUGUUUUCCUGUCAGAUAUGAUUAUUUUGCUCUUAUAGCUUCCUUCUUCACAGCAUGUUGCUGUCUGUAGUUUUGCCAAAGGCCUCGGGACAUAUGACUUUCACUGCUGCUGCUGCUACUACCGUGCUUACUCAGCCUGCACUGAAGUGCUCAUUAUUCCACUCUGCUAUACAUGAAUCACACUGAGGGUCAGGUUCCCAUGCAUAUAUAUUUUUUGGUACUGUCAUAGUGAUUUCACAUGAAUGUAAGGCUAUAGUCUUUAGAUGACGAAUGCUUUCAUAAUAUGAUGACAGCUAAAAAUGCCAUAGAAUUGUCCCACUUGUGUCACUUUCUAUAGGGCUUAUUCACUGCAAUCACUGGAUUUUGAGGGAAAAUGCAAAAUAAUCCUUUAUCAAGUGAAACUAGUAAGGAUGUCACAGAUACGAGGGAUUAAAAUUUCAGGUCUGAGUUUGUUUGGAGUCGAGCUGAUCAGUGCCAAGACAUGCUCGGUCUUUUCCAGCUGAAUGUUCUGGAGGUGUUGGAGACUUAAUUUAAGCUGACAACUGUGAUGGGUGGUGCCAACACGAUAAUCCCAGUGACAAAUCCAAAAGCCACACUUUUCAUGUGGGGAACUGAAGUUCUGGCGCACAGUAACACAACAUAGUUUUGAUUCCAUAAAAGAAAAAUAACACACUUCUUGGAGAUAAAUCCUAAAAUGUUAUAAAAAAAAAAUCUUGCUAAAACAGCUUUUCACAGAGCCAUGGAGGAGAAGGAGCAGCCUGCAGGAGGGCUGUAUUUUGUGGGGAAGAAGGAUGAACUCAUCCAAGCAAAGCGCUCCUUCAGAACACUAGAGGGUCGAGAUAUACUGAUCAUCUACCACCAGGGAGUCUUUUAUGCUAUGGACUCUUACUGCUACCAUGCUGGAGGAGAGCUGCUGAAUGGAGACAUUGAGGAAUUCGACGGCAAGCUGUGUAUAAUUUGUCCAAACCACAAGUACAAGAUCACUCUCGCCCAAGGGGAUUGUAUUUACAAGGCAACCAACCCCAGGGAGAACCCGCCUGUGGCCAGAUGGUACAACAAGGGUGCGAAGCAGCGGAUCCACACUGUCACUGAGGACGACAGUGGGGCUGUGUAUGUGAAGCUCUCCAACGUGUCACGCUGGCUAGAGUCAGACUUCUUCCAGGGAGAGCAGGGCAAGAUAGAGAGGGAAAAGGCUGCGGCGGCUGAGAAGAAGGAGAAAUCUUGAUAAUGCUGUAACAGCUGGAUGAGGAUAGCAUCUGUAUAUUCCCUCUCUUAUCUCCUCUAUGCUUCUCCAUCUCUCUGCCAACCACCAGCCAGCUCACCAUCAUUUGCACUAUUGCUGUUGUUAAAUAAAGUCCUUUAACCUUACUGCCUUGACUAGCGCUCAACUCCUGGGUCCUUGUCAUACAUUCAUCACAACGCUGUCUCUAAUAUCAGAACAUUGAGCCUAUACAUGGCUGACAAACGUCUUGUUUUUCCUUCCAUUCUAGGUGGAAAGACAGCAGAAUGAUCUAUUUGGAGUAAAAUGUUGCUCCAAAGAGGAGCAUCAAUCUAGAGUAAGAUGCAGCGCCACAUAAAGUUUUACCUAUAAUGAGAAGGAAACAUUUCUAUAAGGACUAAAAAACUGCUCUGAAAAGAUAAAGUACAGCACUAUGUUGAGUUAAAAACUGCUCUAUAAUAAAGAACUUUGUUCUGUAUUUCUCUGUAAUGAGUACAAUUGCUGUAGAUUUGUGGGGUUUUUUUUGUUCAUCAUGGAGUACAUAAGCAUCAGUUAGAGUUAAAUAAAAACACU